rnacentral:rRNA from 1 species
AACGAACGCUGGCGGCAUGCCUAACACAUGCAAGUCGAACGAGACCUUCGGGUCUAGUGGCGCACGGGUGCGUAACGCGUGUGAACCUGCCCUUAGGUUCGGAAUAACUCCCCGAAAGGGGUGCUAAUACCGGAUAAUGUCUUCGGACCAAAGAUUUAUCGCCUUUGGAUGGGCCCGCGUUGGAUUAGCUAGUUGGUAGGGUAAAAGCCUGCCAAGGCGACGAUCCAUAGCUGGUCUGAGAGGAUGAUCAGCCACACUGGGACUGAGACACGGCCCAGACUCCUACGGGGGGCAGCAGUGGGGAAUAUUGGACAAUGGGCGAAAGCCUGAUCCAGCAAUGCCGCGUGAGUGAUGAAGGCCUUAGGGUUGUAAAGCUCUUUUACCCGGGAUGAUAAUGACAGUACCGGGAGAAUAAGCUCCGGCUAACUCCGUG